UGGGCUGGUCAAAAGACCUUGGUCCACCGAGUGGCGGGGAGAUUCCCC
rnacentral:ncRNA from 1 species